rnacentral:rRNA from 1 species
UACAGAGGUCCCAAGCGUUGUUCGGAUUUACUGGGCGUAAAGGGCUCGUAGGUGGCCAACUAAGUCGGACGUGAAAUCCCUCAGCUUAACUGGGGAACUGCGUCCGAUACUGGAUGGCUUGAGUUUGGGAGAGGGAUGCGGAAUUCCAGGUGUAGCGGUGAAAUGCGUAGAUAUCUGGAGGAACACCGGUGGCGAAGGCGGCAUCCUGGACCAACACUGACACUGAGGAGCGAAAGCCAGGGGAGCAAACGGG